rnacentral:lncRNA from 1 species
GUUGAUUAUUGAUGGAAGUUGCAAUAUUGUGAAUACUUGAAGAAGUUGAGGGUGAUAGAGUAAAAUAUGCAUUUUCGAAAGAAAAAAAAAAUGAUGGCAUUUUGGUGAAUAAUCUGAACUUUGGAGGUGGAAGAGGCAAAUUAAAGUUUAAAAAAAAAAACAUGAGUUAAUUUUGUGUUUGAAUUCAAAUUUUGAGUCAUAUUUGCAAAAAACCCUUUGAUAAUUAUUUUUUUCUCAAAGUCAAUAAUUUUGACCCAUCUAAAUUUUUUUCUAAAUCAUAUAUACAAAUUUAAAUAUCUAUUACAUACAAACAUGUUUUAGAAAAAACAUAUUUUUUAUAAGGUUAAAUAUUAUAUAAAAAUUAAUAUAAAAAUAGUUAUCCCACAUUUUUAAAAAUCAGAUCUGAAUCUAGUCCAAUUCCAUUAAAAAACAACCAAAACCACACGGUCAAGUUACAAAAAAAAAAUGAAAAGAAAAACUAAACUGCUGACAUAAAUAUUAACUAGCAACCAUUACUUGCCUUUAAUGCAGUUUACACAUGAACCACGUUGGUUUAUGUACACCACCCAAAUGUCUUUUUGUCUUCUCAUUUUUCUUCGUUUUUGUUGUAUUAAUGAGCAUCACAAAAAUAUUUAUUUAUUUAUAUUCUUCCAGUUUUAAAUUUUUAUUCAACAAAAAUGCUGUAUAAAGUGGAAAAGGGAGUAAUUUUUUUUAUAGAAACAGAGCAAAUAAAAAAAAACAAAAAAACAGAGCAAAUCUCCACCUUUAUAUCGGUGGUUGGUAGCGAGCUUCAGUCCGAAAGUCGCCAACAGCUCCUCAAGUAUCUACGUAUGGGGACAUACUUGAGUUCCGCUCUUCUCAAAUGUGGUUUAAUAAUAAUGACUGAUUUUAGGCACAAUGGAUCAGUAUGAAAUUAUUUUUUCUUAGGGCGAAUUUAUAUAACGUGGCGGUGAAGAGAUGAGUGUUUUUUUUUCUUUUUGGUGUAAUGAAGAGAUGAGUGUUCCAUAUGGUUAAUGACUAAUGACAAAGAUUCUUAAAUUGGCUAAUUCAGCUUAAGAUGUCUACAGUCAAAUAGUAACAAGUCUACUAAAAUAGUAAUGAUGUAUUUAACUUAAAUCUAUACAAGAAAUUCAAAUACCACCUAAAACUACAUUGCCGACGCACGCACCAUAGUUAAGGUGAAUUAUAAGAAUCUGAUGGAG